AGAGAACCAGAGAGAUGGUGGUGUGAGGAGGACCUGGCUUGUCAUUGCUGGCUUCAAAGAUGGAGGAAGGAGCCAUGAGCCAAGAAAUGUGGAUUGCCUCUAGAAGCUGGAAAAGGCAAAGAAACAGCUUCUCUGCUAGAACCUCCAAAAAGGAAACCAUUUAGCCAGCUCCUUGAUUUUAGCCCAGUGAGAGCCAUUUCGCGCUUCUGAACUCCAGAACCGUAAGGCAAAUGAGACCUGAACAUUCCUUUCCCACUGUGGGUGGGUUACAACUUGAAGGAAGCCGUUCACCCAGCCAUCUAAUUUCCCAGAGAUCUUGAUUGCGAAGGACCGUUUGCAGAUCCCAUCGGAGGGGCCCAGGUCAAGGGACACCUGGGAGCUGACUUCUCCAGAUCUACACGAGGACAACACAGAAGCCUGGGAGUCCCUUUCCCCCGUCCUCUCUGCUAUUUGGACUGCUCUAUCUGCUUUCAUCCUAGAAGGAAGAACGAGAAGAGGAUUGAACAUAUGGUGGAAAUAUCAUAAUUCUUGUGCUUUGCAUGAACUGUGAUUAUUGAUGAUCGGAAGGCUUCCUGCUUAAGAAGGGAUGUUCUUGUUGCCCUAAGAAAUGAGCCUCUCAAGAGGAACCCACAACCCAACAUGAAGAAGUAACGAGAGUGGGGUUCAGGGGAAGGGUGCAUUAGGCAAUCUACUUGGACAUCUUCUUGGCCAUGGCAAGAACUGGAGGGGCCAUGAAGGUCAAAUAAUUCUAAAACUAUCGCAGGAGAACAGACUGGCACUUGGAAACAGAGCCCUGGUCAAUGGCUAAAGAGAGCAUUAUCUAGUGUGUCUUCAGGGUAGUAAUGGUAGAUUUCCUCACAGUGGCCAUUUGAGAAUUGGGGGAAUUAGGGUUCUAGGCAUCCCAUUUCCACCUUGAGAUGCCGCUCAUGUGGUCUAUGAGAGGGUGUGGAAGCCUGUAUGGAGUAUGCUCUGUGAGCCCUGCGGUCAUUUUACCUGAUGUUCCUGUAGCUUUCACAUACACUGUGUCAGAUGCCUCAGAACAGCAAUGAUAACAUGUUUUGGGCUAAUGAAGAGGGAGGAUGUUACUUCAGCUGCUAUUUUACAUCAUCCUCAGGAGCUUCCUGGGUGUUACCUGAAACCAGCCCCCACAGCAGAGGGUAGGGAGAGACCAAAGAAAGAGGCAGACCACUGGAGGUUGAUAGGCGGCAGAGGUAAUAAGCAAGGGAACUUCCUUAUCAGACUUGUCUUGGGCAGCCUCAAGACAAGUAGAUUUCCAUGCUGCCUGCCAAAUCUUACGUUUUUAUAUAAAAGCAUUAACUGGAUUCAGUCAUGUAUACUGUCCUCAUAGUCUCAAAACUACAUUUCUGUCUCAAGGCUGUAUCCAUGGGACAGCCUCUGGGAAGUGGGAAAGCAAACAGAAUGCACAUUACAAGGAGAGGAGUGGGGAUGGGGAACCUCCAAUUGCCCAGGUCCAGCGCACAGGUCAGCCGGAGGUCACGUCUUCUUGAUGACCUCCUACAACAUCAGCAAAGCACCAGCAUAGGAGAAAGUGUAUCCUGUAAGUGUGUUCAAGUUUUCUCAGAUACUGUCAACAGAGAAACUGGUAGGAUGGUCUGAGAGGCUUGUGUUGAUUGACAGGGCCUUCUCCUGGAGUCUAUGCUUCAGGCGCAUUUCCUGAUGUCUCAGUAUCAACUGAACACUUUGCAGAAGACCAUGCCCUAGAGAACUGGGUGCUCCCAUUUCUCUCUCUAGUUCCAGUUUCCUUUUGUGUUUGGUUCAUGGGUAAGUGGCAGUGUGGAGAUGGCUCUUAUUUGUUAGCUGGAUGCAGUGAGGACCUGCCUUUCACUAAAGGAUGUAAACGAGUGUUUAUGUAGGAAAACGUCAAAGAGUCCCUUCUCUCUCUCUCUCUCGCUCCAUAUGUAUAAAUAAUGUUUUUCUAAAUACCUCCACUCAUAAGGCCAUUCUCCAUGAAUUUUAUCAAAAAGCUGAGACUUUGAUGAUCAUUAUAUAGGUUAUAUUAUACAUAUUAUUAUAUAGAUAUACUAUGAAAUAGAUGACUGUUAUGUAGGUUAGAAGAUUUAGAAGCCAGGGUCCCCAC
rnacentral:lncRNA from 1 species